ACAGUUGCCACGCGCUACCGCCGUCCCUAUAUCGGCGGUGCCGUCCUUCGGGCCGGCUAUGGUGAUAAAUGAUUUCGCGUGAGGCGCAGCGGACCCGGGGGCGGUACCCGGCGGCUCCACCACAAGCUCUCGUUGGCCUUUGGGCGGCGGGGGCCUUCUGAUGGGGCCGAACUAGGAUCGACGUGUGUACGAGUGCGAUGUUUUUGCCCGGCCUGAUUGAGCCGUAAAACCGAUCAAAACCACAAGUGCUAACGAUAACGAGGCACUCGCGAUUGCUGCGUAAUCAAGGCCUCACGGCUUAGAUUACAAGGCUUGAACGCGGUUCGGGCCGAACCGGGCAACAGAAUCGGACACC
rnacentral:tmRNA from 1 species